rnacentral:tRNA from 1 species
ACCUGGGUGGCUCAGCUGGUUGAGCAUCUGACUUCAGCUCAGGUCAUGAUCUCGCAACUCGUGGGUUCAAGCCCCGUGUCGGGCU